GCCUUCAUGGUGUAGCGGUCAGCACACUCGACAUGUAUUCUAGAGAUCCGUGGUUCGAGUCCCGGCGAGGGCA
rfam:Stegodyphus mimosarum contig91537, whole genome shotgun sequence.